AUUGAACGCUGGCGGCAUGCCUUACACAUGCAAGUCGAACGGUAACGCGGGGCAACCUGGCGACGAGUGGCGAACGGGUGAGUAAUGCAUCGGAACGUGCCUGGUAGUGGGGGAUAACUGCUCGAAAGAGCAGCUAAUACCGCAUACGACCUGAGGGUGAAAGGGGGGGAUCGCAAGACCUCUCGCUAUCAGAGCGGCCGAUGUCGGAUUAGCUAGUUGGUGGGGUAAAGGCCCACCAAGGCGACGAUCCGUAGCUGGUCUGAGAGGACGACCAGCCACACUGGGACUGAGACACGGCCCAGACUCCUACGGGAGGCAGCAGUGGGGAAUUUUGGACAAUGGACGCAAGUCUGAUCCAGCCAUGCCGCGUGCGGGAAGAAGGCCUUCGGGUUGUAAACCGCUUUUGUCAGGGAAGAAAUCUUCUGGGUUAAUACCUCGGGAGGAUGACGGUACCUGAAGAAUAAGCACCGGCUAACUACGUGCCAGCAGCCGCGGUAA
rnacentral:rRNA from 1 species